AUGAAGGCCCUAUCCUCCUCAAAGCGGGACCUGAGGAAGCAGCUGUUCUCGGGUGUUCUAAUGUCCAGCAAGGCCCCAUCCGUCUUCCCCUUGGCUUCCUGCUGCAAAGAUGCUGCUGCCGCCUCGGCUGUGGUGCUCGGCUGCCUGGUCACCAGCUUCUUCCCGGAGCCUGUGGCCGUGACCUGGGACACAGGACCUUCUCAGCUCUUCCACUCCUCCUGCAACCCCAGCGGCGACACCAGCACCCCCAUCCAGCUCCUGUGCCUCAUCCUGGGCGUCCUUGCCGACAACGUCAACGUCACCUGGCUGGUGGACAAGAACAAGUCCGACAGCAUAGCCAACGUGGGCACCCUGAAGCAGGAGGACGGGUUGUUGUCCACCUACAGCGAGGUCAACAUCACCCAGGGCCAGUGGGUCUUGGAGAGGACCUACACCUGCCGGGCCACCUACGAAGGCCACAACUUUGAGGAGCACGCCCGCAAGUGCUCAGACCCUGAGCCCCGCGGCGUGCGCGUCUACCUGAGCCCGCCCAGCCCUGUCGAGCUGUACGUGCAGAAGGCGCCCAAGCUCACGUGCCUGGUGGUGGACCUGGCCCGGGAGGACGGCAUGAGCCUCAGGUGGCUGCAGGGGGGCAAAACCUCCACCGGAAAAGCCAUGACAUUCACGAAGCGGCACCACAAUGGCACCCUGAGUGUCACGUCCACCCUGGCCGUGCUCACCCAGGACUGGGUGGAGGGCGAGACAUUCCAGUGCGUGCUGGAGCAUCCGGACCUGCCCAGGAAGAUCGUGCGCUCCCUCACCAAGACCCGGGGCCAGCGGGCAGCCCCUGAGAUCUACGUGUUCAAGACUCCAGAUGAGGGUGCGGCCAGCACGGACAAGGUGACCCUCACCUGCCUGGUCCAGAACUUCUUCCCCGCGGACAUCUCGGUGCUGUGGCUGCAGGACCAGCCCCACGUGGUUGCGGAGCAUCAGGCCACCACGCAGCCGCAGCCGAUGAGCAGAGCCGGGACCCGCUUCUUCGUCUUCAGCCGCCUGGAGGUGGCCCGGCAGGACUGGGAGAAGGGCACCACCUUCUCCUGCCGGGCCGUGCACGAGGCGCUGCCCCAGCCCCGCACGCUGGACCGGUCGCUGUCCAAGGCCCGCGAGCUGGUGCUGCAGGACAUGUGCGUGGACGCGGCCGAGAGCCUGGAGCUGGCCGGGCUGUGGAACAGCCUCCUCGCCUUCAUCACCCUCUUCAAGCUCAGCGUUGGCUACGGUGCCGCCGUCACCCUCUGCAAGGUGCACCGGGCCUUGACGGUGGGGGCGCAGGAGCCCCCCAAGACCUCCCAUGACUACAGCAACAUCCCGUGGCCGGCAGCGUAG